CGCUUUGGGAGGCCGAGGCGGGCGGAUCACAAGGUCAGGAGAUCGAGACCAUCCUGGCUAACAUGGUGAAACCCCGUAUCUACUAAAAAUACAAAAAAUUAGCCAGGCGUGGUGGCAGGCGCUUGUAGUCCCAGCUACUCGGGAGGCUGAGGCAGGAGAAUGGCGUGAACCCAGGAGGCAGAGCUUGCAGUGAGCAGACAUCGGGCCACUGCACUCCAGCCUGGGCAACAGAGCAAGACGCUGUCUCAAAAAAAAAAAAAAGUUUAUUUUCUGGAACCUUUCCUUGUGAAUUUAAACACUACCCAGAAGAGGUUUACCUUGAGAGAAAAUCAAAAGACUGAACAAGCAUUAGCUGGGAUUAGGUUUGGGUCUCCUGAGCACCAGAGAAAGGAAUGAAAGAGAAUAAUUGAUGGAACCAAAAAUCUCUCCUUUUCAGUAUUAGUUACUCUAGUAUUUCAAACAAGCUAUUUCUGUGCAGCUAGAAUAUGAUCAAGUCUACAUACAUCUAAAUGAUUCAAACAGUACUUCUAAGUUUAAAAAUAGCAAACUUCAAAAAGUCUAACAGCUAAAGGGACAUUAUGGAGGCCACCUGUUCCCCUCUGUUCCCCCACCCAGUCAUGAGACUCGUCCCCUGCAGAGUGACUUCACCAGGAGAGUGUGGGGCCAAUGGAAAUGUCUUUAGACUGAAGGGAUCUGGCGAAAAUAUUUAAAAAGCGUUUAAACACAAGGAUAUCCAAAAUUAUGAGAUUUUUCUUUUACAAGUUAUUUAUUUAUUUUGAGACAGUGUCUCGCUCUGUUGCCCAGGCUGGAGUGCAGUGGCACAACCUCCACUCACUGCAAGCUCUGCCUCCUGGGUUCAAGCAAUUCUCCUGCCUCAGCCUCCCAAGUAGCUGGAACUACAGGUGCCUGCCACCACGCCCGGCUAAUUUUCUGUAUUUUUAGUAGAGAUGGGGUUUCACCAUGUUAGCCAGGAUGGUCUCGAUCUCCUGACCUUAUGAUCUGCCCGCCUCGGCCUCCCAAAGUGCUGGGAUUACAGGCGUGAGCCACCGCGCCCAGCCAGGGAUCAUUUCUUAAAUCCAUAAAAGGUUUCCCAAAAUAUCACUCAUGGUUCCUAAACUAGAAUAAGCAAAAGCUGUGUUUCAGUGAAGUUAUAAGUAAAACUUUCAUUCAUUCAUUUGUGGAUACACUGUUGUUUGGUGGGUGUGUGUGUGUGUGUGUGUGUGUGUGUGUGUUCUGGCAGUUCUGCCAUUUUAUUUUUCCUAGGAUAC
rnacentral:lncRNA from 1 species